UUCAUGUAUAUGUACAGGUUUUUUAACAAUUGGGAUAUUUUCUUUCAUAACCAAGUAUAGUUUUCAACUUUAGUAAAGUUAAUAUUGAUACAAUACUUUUAUCUAUUCUACCAUCCACAUUCCAGUGGAUGUCCUUUGUAGGAUUUUUUUCUCCCAUCCAGUACAGGAUUCAGGGACAGGAAUUGCAUUUGGCUGCUGUGAACAUGAACCUUUGGCUUUUGAGGUUUGAUUCUAAUAAAGAAUGAAGCACUUCCUUUAAAGCUCAUCUUUAGAAAACUGUAAGGAAAAGGCAAUCUUUUCUCCAGUUCUUUAGAGCUUAUACCUGGGGAGCACCUUGAACAGUCUGGGGGAAAUUUCUAGAUAAAAGUCCAUGGAGCAGGGCUUCUAGAAAGGUAGGUUCCUAUAGCUGCCUACCCUAUUCUCUGAACAGAGCAGCGAUGCCACACAUUUGGAGACCAGCAUGGUCUUCAAGUAAGAUAGUACCAUGCUAGUCUCCAAAUGACCCCCAGGGAGAUGGAUUUCUAGCAGAACCUCUUCAUUCUCUGGCUGCAGUGGGUCCAAAAGAUUCCUUUCCAUGAUGCAUCCCAGCCUUACAGAAGAAAUGCAUGUUAGAUCCUUCUAUCAUCCUGAGAAUUUGGACAUGUGAAAAUAAGCAAGAAACCCAGAACCAAAUGUAUAGAUUUGGAAGCUGUUGAUCUGAGAAGAAUCUGAGCCUGGUAACAUAAUAAGGAUCAACUUUUUGACAUUCAAAUUAAUUAUAUCAAAUAGAGCUACUCUUUAAAGAAUAAUUACUGAUCUUUUUAAAACAAAAAGAGAAAGAUAAUUUUUGUUAGUAUAAAUGGGUUAAACAAAAAUGAAUGUAUACUAUAGGCAAUGAAGUUCGAUUUGAUAUAUGUGUACUAUAUUCAUGUAAUCUUGCAGAAGUGAGUAUAUAUACAGCAUACCAUUCAUGUAAUUGUUUACUCAUUUUUUCCAUCAAUGAUUUAUUGAAGAUGUAUUGUGUGCUAAGUGCUGGGAAUAGAGAAAUGAAUCACACAUUCCUUGAUAAGUGGG
rnacentral:lncRNA from 1 species